rfam:Dipodomys ordii contig_20192, whole genome shotgun sequence.
GUGGCUCAGUGGUAGAGUGCUUGCCUAGCAUGCAUGAGGCCCUGGGUUCAAUUCCUCAGC